rnacentral:rRNA from 1 species
AUUGAACGCUGGCGGCAUGCUUUACACAUGCAAGUCGAACGGUAACACGCCGCACUGUCCUGACUAGUGGUGCACGCGUGCGUAAUUCUUCCGCAUGUGCCCCCUCCUUGUGGUUAUCUACUCGCUUGAGUAGCUAAUACCUCAUACCAUCUAUUGUUUUAAGCGGCGUACCUUAAGGCUUCGCGCCAUUCUUGCUGUCCAUUUUAGAUUAGUUAGCUGGUCUGGUAAAGGUUCAUCAAGCCAACGAUUUGUAACUGAUCUGAGAGGACGACCAGCCACACUGGAACUGAGACACGGCCCAGACUACUACGGGAGGCAGCAGUGGGGAAUAUUGGACAAUGGGCGAAAGCAUGAUGGAGCAAUGCCGCGUGAAGGAAGAAGGACUUCGGGUGGUAAACUGCUGUUGUAAGGAAAGAAAAGGAGCGGGAGAAAAAGCGGAGAUAAUGACGGUACCGAAAGAAAAAGCAACGGCUAACUACGUG